AGAGGCGUGUGCGGGGUGCCUCUUCUAAACGUGCACCCUAGGCCGGCGCCUACUUCGCCUAUAGGUGGCGCCGGCCUUGGGGACACGUUUGGAAGGGGCGCCCCGUGCACGCCUCUUCAUGCAGCACU